CCCUCAGCCCAGCUUGAAACUAUCAUUGUGACCAAGAGGGAUGAGCUUAUCCUGAUUGGCUUAAACCCAUUAGGGCCAACCUCUGAAACUGGUAUUGAGGGCAAUCCUUCUCAGACUGUAUGGCUGUUGCACAAUGGAGGUGGAUGAAACAAAUGUUUGUGUGGCCAUCAAAAUGCCCACUGGAAAAAGAGAGUAAACCAAGAAGGAGGGAGACAUAGAAUCUGAGGAAUGUUGCAUUGAAACCAGAAGUGCCGGGAAGCCAAAUUUCAGGAUGAUGGUUUUAUAGCAGAUCUGGAAAAAAAUAAAGAGCCAUGGCUCGGUGUUUGAUUAUGGAGAACAGUGAUUGCUGGCUGUGUUUGGAACCUGAUGAAGUGAGGACCACACUUAUUAUCUGCAAAAUUUACCCGUCCUUUGUUCAUUCCUUCAGGGUUCUGCACUCCGCUAAGAAUAUUCUCAUGAUGGCU